UGAUGCCCCUCACCCACCCCUAAAGAUCCCAGGUGGGCGAGGGAAUGACCAGCGGGAUC
rfam:Salmo salar isolate Sally breed double haploid chromosome ssa10, whole genome shotgun sequence.